rnacentral:rRNA from 1 species
AACGAACGCUGGCGGCAUGCCUAACACAUGCAAGUCGAACGAGACCUUCGGGUCUAGUGGCGCACGGGUGCGUAACGCGUGGGAACCUGCCCUUAGGUUCGGAAUAACUCCCCGAAAGGGGUGCUAAUACCGGAUAAUGUCUUCGGACCAAAGAUUUAUCGCCUUUGGAUGGGCCCGCGUUGGAUUAGCUAGUUGGUAGGGUAAAAGCCUACCAAGGCGACGAUCCAUAGCUGGUCUGAGAGGAUGAUCAGCCACACUGGGACUGAGACACGGCCCAGACUCCUACGGGAGGGAGCAGUGGGGAAUAUUGGACAAUGGGCGAAAGCCUGACGCAGCAAUGCCGCGUGAGUGAUGAAGGCCUUAGGGUUGUAAAGCUCUUUUAGCCGGGAUGAUAAUGACAGUACCGGGAGAAUAAGCACCGGCUAACUCCGUG